GUGCUCGCUUCGGCAGCACAUGUACUAAAAUUGCAACGAUACCGAGAAGAUUAGCAUGGCCCCUGCACAAGGAUGACAUGCAAAUUCGUGAAGAGUUCCAUAUUUUU
rnacentral:snRNA from 2 species